CGCGGGGGGUGCGGAAGAAGAUUCCACGAACGCAAGCUUCGAGACAGAGAAUCUGCCCGCCUUUUUCCUCCCUGUUUUCCUAGCACUAAAUAAUACUAGCCAACGCUUCUUGAGCGCUUAAUAUGUGCCAAGCAUUAUUCUGAGGCAUUUUAAAAACAGCUUUGUUGAGAUAUAAUUCACCUACUGUACAAUUCACCUAUUUAAAACAUACAAUUCAAUGGCUUUUAGUACAUUCACAGAGUUGUGCAACCAUCGUCUUAAUCAGUUUUAGAACAUUUUUGUUACUUCAAAGGGAAACCUUGUACCUAUUAGCAGUCACUCCUGUUCUCCCCUCCCCCAGCUCCAGGCAACCACUAACCUUUCUAUCUCUGUCCAUUUCCUGUUCUGGACAUUUCAUAUCAAUGGAAUCAUACAAUAGGCCGUCCUUCAAGGCUGGCAUCUUUCACUUAGUAUAAUGUUCUCCGAGCUUAUCCUUAUGGUAGCUUGUGUCAGCACUUUAUUCCUUUCCAUGGCUGAAUAAUCUAUCGUACCACAUUUCAUUUAUCCAUUCCUCAGUCGUUGCGCAUUUGGGUUGUUUCUUCUUUUUGGCUGUUAUGAUGAAAAUCUGCGUACAAGUUUUGUGUGGGUACGUGUCCUUAUUCCUUGUUCUCAUAAAUUUAUAUGCCUCGUUGAAUCCUCAGACUCUGACGAGGUAGGUAACGUUAUUUUCCCUAAGGCUCAGAGAAGCUUAUUAACUUGCCCAAGGUCACACAAUGUGUAAGUGGUGGAGCUGAGAGAGGAACUCGGGCCGUCUUGCUCCAGAGCCCACGCCCAUAACCACACUGCUCUGUUACCUAGAAUGCCUGGCACAGUCGAAAGUAUGUAAGGAAUGAGCGGCUGAGUGAGACAGGGGCCCUGCUCUGGGAGACUUGUAAGGGGGUUGCCUUCUUGCAGACAGCUUCUCUCUGAUUAAUCUCCGCAAUACUCUCGGGGCUGGAAACAGGUAGAGAAGGCUGGCUGGAAUCAGCUGUUGAAAAGUUGGAUGUAGUGGAUGCCUAUUGCUUAAUGGGACACUUCCCGCCGGGGCUGAGGCUGCGGGUUCCUCAGGGAGAGAAGAGUCAGCACUGGGGCCUGAGAGAUUUGAGAAGUUACAGAAAGCUUCCUCUUCAGAGAGGCAAACAGGAAAUCUGCUUUUUUGGUUGUUUUUUUAAGUGAGUCAUGUUGAAGGUGUUUUGUGUGACAUCUCUGCCUGCGGUCCUGGACUGCCUUGUCCAUGUUACCUGUCUCGGGACCACCAGAGGCUGAUUCUGGGGUGGGUUCUGGAGGCAGCCUAGCUGAGUCAUCUAGAACAGCUACCAGCGGGCAAGUGCAGUGGCUCCUGGCCAGUGACAUCCUUGUCCUGGCUCUAGGGAGCAGGGAGCUGAUUCCCAGAGACAAAAGGCACGUCAGACCCCAGCAGACCUCGUCCCCACAGCCCUGCCGCUCUGUUGUGCCCUCUGCAAGGCCAGCGUCGAUGAGCUUGCUCACCAGCUCUUCCCGGCCCUCGUACCAGCACCUGCUCCAUAGGCACUGCGAUGUUUUGGGAGGUGGCACUGACUUUUACAAACCAGACUGUCACCUUUUUGUCCCUGACUCAGAAAGUUUCAGGUUCACAGAAUUAAGUGCAGACUUCUCCGCCUGGUACUCAGCUCUCUCAGGCCCAGCUCCUGGCUCCACUGUCAGCUCUAACCACUUGGCUUUCCUGCCCACCUCUCCCUCCACUCACCCCUUUGCCAGGCAUUCUGGGUGUCAGCCUCUCCACCCUCCCUGCACAAACCCAUUUUUCUUCUGCCUCUGGGUCUUUGCUCAAGCUGUUUUCCCAGCCUGGAACAGCCCCUGUGGACUGUCGCAGAUCAUUCCUGCCUCCUCCAGGAAACCUUCCCAGUCCCAUUGGCUACAGAGAAUCUCUCCCUUCCUUCCUAACCAUGUUACUCCCACCUCUCGUAGCACUUCCCCCUUGCCUGCAGCUGUGAGAGUUAUCUAUGUGUGUCUGCUUCCUGGGGGGCAGGGACAAAAUUGCAUUAGUAUCUGCUCUCUCCCCAGGCCUCAUAUAGCGUCAGAUGUAGGUGUUCAUAGGAGGUGUUCCGUAGAUGGGUUGUUGGACUGAACUGACCAUCUCUAGUAUCAUUUACUGUUUGAAGUCUUAAUCUCAGGCCAUAAAGAUCUAGCUCCUUCUUUAUAAUCACGGCACAGUAGUCUAUCAUAUGGGUGGACCAAAAUCCACUCAGCCAGAUUUGGCCAACUGAAAGUCAUUUAGGUUGUUUCCAGCUUUUGGGGGUUACAAACGCCUGUGCUGUCUUGCUGUACCUCAAAAAGAGGAAGAGAGAUUCAUUUGGAACCAUUUCUACAAUUUUGGUGGAAGAUGUGACUCAGGGCCACUUAUCCAAACACAGCAAGAUUGGAAUACAUAAGGUAAGGUGGAUGGGGCCAGGGUCAGAGGGCCACGCAAUCACAGAGGCUCUUGCAGGCCCUGUAGGACACAAGGUUGUCCCUGUGUGAGUGGCCCCUGUCCACCUCGCCCACCACUCCCCCUCCUGCCACUCCCCCCUCCCCCACAUGCUCCAGACAGGUGCACAUGCUCCCAGUCUUUGGUUAGGCCUUGUGACCUUCACCCGCGCUGUGUCUCUCUCUGGACCUCUCUUGCCUGCUCUCCACAUGGCUGACUCCCUCUUACCCUUUAGGGCUUGGCCUGGGGGUCAUCUGCUCAGAGAGGCCGGCCCUGACUCUGUGAGCGUGCCCUCCCCCGACUCUUCUGAAGGACACUCUGGUUAGUCUCUUCACACCACCAGUUGGUCCUUAUUCAUGCAUAUUUGUUUGUCGUCUACCUCCCCCACCUCUAGGGCCUCAGCGCCACGUCUGUCAGUGCAUCGCCCAGUGCCUAGCGCGGGGCCUCAUGCAAGGAGUUACCUGGCAAAUGUUCAUGGAAUAAGCGGAUACUGCUAUGGAUGAAUGGCCAGAUUAGGAAAAGGGGGAGGGAAAAGGGAACAAUUAGUGGAGACCUGCAGGGAUGGCAAAUGAGUUCCUCCACCAGACAGCAACGGAGGGGGGUCUGCUCCUGGAGGGGACAGGCUAGUCGGCAAGUGCCACUCAUAACCUCGGAGGUCCUGGUCCCUCUGGGAGAUGGAGCCAGCAAGAGGGCAGAUCCCACAGGGUCGGAGCUGGGAAGGAUUCCUGGCUGCUUCUGAACUGUGCCAAACGGGCCGAGAGAGCAGUGAGCACAGGAGAUGGACGCAGGGGUUUACAGGCACCCAGGCGUCCCGAGCAGCAGGAGAAGAGGGUACAGCAUGGGGGGCUGUGCCUUGGGGGAGGGUGCCAGGAAUUCUCAGCAUCAAGCAGGAGCCUAUAGCUAACGUUUGGUGCAAGUGUUAGAGGGGGUCCCCCACCGGACGAUUGGAGAAGCAUCGUAUGCGUCGACACCCCUAAUCUGCCUCUUCUGGAACAAAUUUAGGCUGUCAUGCGCCAGCUACUGAAAAAAUCAUUUGAGCCACCCAAGAUGGUGCUGCCUGCCAGGUGACAGGGCACCGUGAGCAGUUGCCGCUUUUGUUCAACAGGACACAUGUGACUGUUGCAAAGUUUCAUUGCGUUUUGCCCGUGUUGUUUUAAAAAAAGAGUGAAAAGGGGCUGGCCCCGUGGCCGAGUGGUUGAGUUCGCGCGCUCCGCUGCAGGCGGCCCAGUGUUUCGUUGGUUCGAAUCCUGGGCGCGGACAUGGCACUGCUCAUCAGACCACGCUGAGGCAGCGUCCCACAUGCCACAACUGGAAGAACCCACAACGAAGAGUACACAACUAUGUACCGGGGGUGCUUUGGGGAGAAAAAGGAAAAAAUAAAAUCUUUAAAAAAAAAAAAAAAAAAAGAGUGAAAAGUAGAAAAAAAAAAAGUGCUCACAUGAGAGAGAUGCACCUAUCACUUGCUUAAAGCAAGAUUUCCAUCUUUAAAAGAUGGAAAUCGUUAACCAAAGUGGCCAAUCUUUGGCUUAUUUACAUGCUCAUUGGAUUUAAGUGGAUCUACCAUAGACUCAACAGCAAAGAAAAAAACAGCAUGAAAGAAAAUGCUAUCAAUAUUUGACUGGAGUUUAAAAAUAUUUUUUAACCUCUCAGGAUCAGGGCCACUACUAGCCGAUAUGGUGUCCUGUGCAAAUCAGAAAAAGGGACUCCUUGUUUUCUCAAUAAAUACAACUCUGCACCAGAGUACACAGCCGGAUGUCAGUCCCCACUUACCCUCUUGGCUGGGUGCCCUCGUACAGUGAAUAACCUGCCCAACUGUACAGUGCUGUUUGGGAUGGAACAACCAUGUGUAAUGUGUCAGUCUUUUGCUCCACUUCUAUGCAGUUACUUUUAUACAUGUUUUCACAUUUAUAAAAGCAGAGGACUGCCUAUACACAGUAUUUCCUGUUCAUUUAUUCUUUAAGGUAGACAACUUGUUUCAUAUUCAAGAUAUCCCUAGGGGAGUGGAGAAUCCAGGACCACAAAACUAACUAUGAAAAUUGCCCAGAGGGUGGUGCUCUACCAGGGCUCAUGCUCCCCUCCCUCAGCAAUUCUGCUGCCCUUUGGACUGCAGGAGCUGCUCUUCACCUUGUUUCCUAGUCUUUGUAUCAUUUCUUCCUCCUCCUAUGGAUUCUCAACUCUCUGAGGAUGAGAGCGAUUUGUCUUGUCCUUUACUUCCAGCAAACAGCACAGAGACCUGUGAGAGUUUACUGGUUGUGCUUUGAUAGAAAAUAAAAAGAAUUGCUGGAAUAAUUAUUGUCAUGAUGCAGAAGAAUUGAAAUAUUUUCUCCAGGCACUUGCCCCUCUGGGCUCUUGUCGCCAUUUGGGGCUAAGCGACACUCGGCAGUUUGAUUUGCUUCCUUUUCUUAUUCCUUCCAGCGGCUGAUGGGAAAACCUUUGCUGACACCAAGAGGGCUUGUGGGUGACGGAAGAUUGUUAAGCAUCAGAUCUUAUUUAGGCUUGAGUCACGCCUUCUCUAAAGGAUUGCAUUCAGGAGCCGGGAGUUUCUAGCGCUUUCCUUGAAGAGGGGCACUGUAUGUUUUCUUUAGUUAGUUCCUUUCUGGCUGUACCAGGAGCAAGGACUGGGCUUUGGGAUGAGUCAAAUGAGAGCAAAGGUCAGGUGUGGGGAAAAAUUAGAACCCACAGUGAUGGUAAAUGUGAUGGCAUUUGGGCAGUGCCCCAGACGGUGGGAUGUGUUGGACAUGUCCUCUUAAGUAAGGAAUAACUCUGGGAUAGACUUGGAAAAGCCAAAGGACCCAUCUCAGUUUGCCACAUAGUGGAGCCGCGUCAGCCUGGAUGCCGCCCCAAAGAGGAGUGAGUUGUGUGUAUUUCCCUCACGUUGGCAAAGCAAUGACUAUUUCUGCAUACUCUCCUGAUUUCUUAAACCCUGGCUGCUCCUUCUACGCUAUGUUUUAUGCCACGGGCCCUGAGGUAAUGUGUUUCCACUUCUCCCCCAGUAGAACACCACUCAUUUUAGUUUAAUGCCCUUGUUCUUGACAUUGUCCAUCUCUUCCUCCCGUCUGAGAGUCAGGAAUAAAACUUACCUCAUUCAGGAAAUGGGGCGCUGGCUCUCGGGGUGAGGGAAAGGAACUCGCAAUGCAUAGAUACACUUCACAUGGUUGUUUCUGAUGAGGAUGGAAAAGUUAAUCUCUCAUUGAACUCCACCGGGACGGCUGGGUUCUGUGCUGCCUCUCUCAGCAGCUUUCUGGAUCUCUGUGGGCUUGGAGCAGCCCCUCGUGGGACUCACCCUCCUCUUCUGUAAGACAGGCAGGAGCUCCAAGUCUCCUACAGACUUGCUAUUCCAAGGGCGGUCCUGGGACCAGCUGCAUCUGUAACACCAUGGAAAUUGUAAGAAACACACAAAAAUCUCAGGCACCGCCCCAG
ensembl:lncRNA